CCAACUCACACCCUCUCUCUACCGCCGCAACAUUACUAAGUAUUCCUAACUUUGACCUUACCUUUUUGGCAAUCAAAUUCGCAUGCACAAAUUCAACUUGUUACGAAGUUACAAGCUCAAGCAAGGAAGAUAAGAUUCGUCUCAAAUCUAAUCUUACAGAUUCACUCUUUCACUUGAUUCCUAGGGCUUGCUCUCAACAAGUAUAUGGGAGUGAGGUUAUGUAAUGGAAAGCAAAAUAUUCUCACACAUAAUUCAAUUAUAAACAAAAGAACUUUCUGGACAAGAUCUCAUGAAAGGAAUCAAAUACUAAGAAUAGGAUAACACACAUACUUACUAACACCCAUGAAUACAUCCUUAAAGAUUAGCUAGGUCUUUCAUAAGGUUGUAAUGUAAGGUUUUUAGGAUAAGGGCUAUGAAAUGAUGGAUAAGGAAUAAUAGAACUUGAGAUAUACCAAAGUGUCUUCCUUACAAAACCAGCAUGUUUUCCUCUUGAAUUGAUCAUCUUCACUUGUUCUCGACAUCCAGAACCCAUGGAUUUAGAAAUUGCAUCUUCUUCUCUCUCUCUUUUUUGUUUUUUCUCUUCUUAAAACGUUUCUUUUUCCCAUUUUUAUUUUUUUAUAUUUUGCAAUUCCAACCCAUGUUACCUCGGUACAUGCCACUUUCUUAGUUUAAAGCUCAAGCAUUUUGUCCUCAUCACUUUGGUAUUCCCAAAGCUAUAGGGAAUGGCUAUUAUGGGGGAAAAUGGGUGUAGGGUUUAGUGUGGGUGAUGAAAGAUAUGGCUGUGUUUGGCUUCAAAAUGGGUAAUGUCUCACACAACAAAAGUAAGGAAUUAGGCCAUUUACUAGUUAAAACAUGCGUAGCCUAACAUCGUCUCAAUGAAUUUAUUCAUGGGUGAUAAUAAGCACAAGUAUCCACAAAAGAGAAUAACUCUUAGUUUUCAAUCAAAAAUGAAUAAUGAGAUCAUCUGAAAUGAAUUUGAAAGAAAAGUAUAGGAGGAGUAGAAAUAGUUUAAUCCCUCUAAAAGAAGCAAAUAGGCACAAAAUUUCACAAAAGAGUCUCCACUAUCGUUCUUCUAAGGAUUGAACUAGUAACUUUUCACAAGUAUUCUUAGAACUAAGAGCAGUGGUAUUAUAUAGCAGAUACAACAACUUUCAAAGCAUAGCCAAAGUUACAAUUGCAAGACUAAGUUAAACAUGUACAUUCCCAUUAUUUAAUUUCAAAUAGCUCUAAUCAUGACUCAAAAAGACUAAAAAUUCAAUACCACACACUUUGUAGCUGCUCUAAAGCAAUGGGCUGUUUUAAUGGAUUGAAAGACAUACAACUAAAAAAUAAAUAAAAAAUUUAGUUAGUAAGCUAAACUAAAAGGAAUUACAAAGUUCUUUAAGCGCAGUCCCCGACAACGGUGCCAUUUUAUUGAAGUUCCUUUCAAGUGCAAAUAUAAGGAUAGUAUAGCGGCACAAGUAAGGGUAUCGAACCACAAGAACUGAGAAGCUGAUGCGAAUUUUAACUUAACACACAAAUUAAACCCUCUUGUUGUCAAAUUGUAGUAUAAAUGCAAGUAGGGAUCGUUCUAAACCGGGGAUUAUGAGGGCAUGCUAAAACCUCUAAACUGACUUUAAAACAUAUAAACAAAGUUAAAAACACUAAACUAGACUCAAAGAACUUAAAACAAACUCAAAGGACUCAAAACAAGCUAAAAACGAUCAAAUCUGCCUAAAAACACAAACUGGGCAGAUUUGGACUCUAACACAUUUUUGGGACACCUAAAAACGCAAAUCAAAAUAGAUUUUGACUAAUAAAACACUUUAAAGUAAAGGGGGUUUUGGUUUUGACGAAUUUGAAAACAAAACAAGUAAAUUAAAGAACUAAUGAAAUCUGCAUGAAUUUGAGUAAAUUGAAUGGAUGGAAGGCUAGCUAAGAGGUUCUUCUCCACACAUGACAUACUUGCACAUAAACCAAUUUUCAGUUGUUCUUUCGAUCAAUCAUGAAACUCAACACCCCAGGUUAAUUAAGUCCGCUUAAAUUAACCUUCAAGUUCUCCUUAAGUUAUUGAAUUGGAUGGGAAAGCGCAUACAACAAUUCAAGGAUUCUUCAAAAGUUCUUUACGUGAACAGCACAAUAACGAUACAAUCAAAGAUCAUUAAGCAUUAUGAAAACUAUAAGUAUUGACGAGGCAUUCGUUACUAUGAUGAGUAUGAAACUCAUGCCAAGAAUUUAUUUAAUGCGAUCGUUUAUAAGCGACCUCCACUACUUGUGAAUAUAAGUUUGUAACUAUUAGGUGAAACUCCCUUAUACUCUAGCAUCAUAUUCAUGCAUUUCUUUAACGCGAUCGUUUAUAAGCGACCUCCACUACUUGUGAAUAUAAGUUUGUAACUAUUAGGUGAAACUCCCUUAUACUCUUGCAUCAUAUUCAUGCAAGCAAACUAAGUGUGCACUCUUAAUAAACAUACACGAAUAAGUUAUCAAUCAAGCAGUUAAA
rnacentral:lncRNA from 1 species